rnacentral:rRNA from 1 species
CAAGUCGAACGCGAAAGUUCCCUUCGGGGGACAAGUAGAGUGGCGCACGGGUGAGUAACACGUAGGUAAUCUACCUUUGGAUUGGGAAUAACAACCGGAAACGGUUGCUAAUACCGAAUAAUGCAGCGGCACCUAAUGGUGACAGUUGUUAAAGCGGGGGAUCGCAAGACCUCGCGUCUGAAGAGGAGCCUGCGGCGGAUUAGCUAGUUGGUAAGGUAACGGCUUACCAAGGCGAUGAUCCGUAGCCGGCCUGAGAGGGCGGUCGGCCACACUGACACUGACAUACGGGUCAGACUCCUACGGGAGGCAGCAGUCGGGAAUUUUGGGCAAUGGGCGAAAGCCUGACCCAGCAACGCCGCGUGAAGGAUGAAAUCCCUCGGGAUGUAAACUUCGCAAGAACGGGAAGAAUAAGUAGGGGACAAUACCCCCUAUGAUGACGGUACUGUUUGUAAGCUCCGGCUAACUCCGUGCCAGCAGCCGCGGUAAUACGGGGGGAGCAAGCGUUGUUCGGAUUUACUGGGCGUAAAGGGCGCGUAGGCGGCCACCGCAAGUCGACUGUGAAAUCUCCGGGCUUAACUCGGAAAGGUCAGCCGAUACUGCGGGGCUAGAGUGCAGAAGGGGCAACUGGAAUUCUCGGUGUAGCGGUGAAAUGCGUAGAUAUCGAGAGGAACACCUGCGGCGAAGGCGGGUUGCUGGGCUGACACUGACGCUGAAGUGCGAAAGCUAGGGGAGCGAACGGGAUUAGAUACCCCGGUAGUCCUAGCCUUAAACGAUGAAUGCUUGGUGUCUGGGGUUCUAUAGUCCCCGGGUG